AGAGUUUGAUCCUGGCUCAGAGCGAACGCUGGCGGCGUGGUUUAGGCAUGCAAGUCGAGCGAAUUAUUUGGACUGAAGUUCCUUGAAGCCGCAAGGUGGAUGGGGAUGGAUGACUGAAUGAUUAGCGGCAAACGGGUGAGUAACGCGUGGGUAAUCUGCCCUCGAGUGGGGGAUAACAACCCGAAAGGGUUGCUAAUACCGCAUAAGCCCACAGCCUCGUAAGAGGUGGUGGGAGAAGCCGGGGACCGUAAGGCCUGGCGCUUGAGGAUGAGCCCGCGUUCCAUCAGCUAGUUGGUAGGGUAAUGGCCUACCAAGGCUAUGACGGAUAGCUGGCCUGAGAGGGUGGUCAGCCACACUGGGACUGAGACACUGCCCAGACUCCUACGGGAGGCUGCAGUCGAGGAUAUUUUCCAAUGGGCGAAAGCCUGAGAAUGCGACGCCGCGUGCGGGAUGAAGGCCUUCGGGUCGUAAACCGCUGUCGGGCGGGAAGAAUACCUGUCUUGUGAACAACAGGAUCGGUUGACGGUACCGCCGAAGGAAGCCACGGCCAACUCCGUGCCAGCAGCCGCGGUAAUACGGAGGUGGCGAGCGUUGCUCGGAUUCAUUGGGUGUAAAGGGUCGGUAGGCGGGCUGGUAAGUGCCCGGUGAAAUUCCACGGCUCAACCGUGGAACGUCCGGGUAGACUGCCGGUCUUGAGGACUGGAGGGGCAGGCGGAAUUCCCGGUGUAAGGGUGAAAUCUGUAGAUAUCGGGAGGAACACCAGUGGCGAAGGCGGCCUGCUGGACAGUCCCUGACGCUGAGCGACGAAAGCGUGGGGAGCAAACAGGAUUAGAUACCCUGGUAGUCCACGCUGUAAACUUUGAGGACUAGGUGCCGGUCCGGUUCGGAUCGGUGCCGCAGGUAACCCAUUAAGUCCUCCACCUGGGGAGUACGUCCGCAAGGAUGAAACUCAAAGGAAUUGACGGGGGCCCGCACAGGCGGUGGAAGAUGUGGUUCAAUUCGAUGCUACGCGAAGAACCUUACCUAGUCUUGACAUGCUAGAAGUACUGAACUGAAAGGGGAUGGACUCGUCAAGUCGAGAGCUAGCACAGGUGGUGCAUGGCUGUCGUCAGCUCGUGCUGUGAAGUGUUGGGUUAAGUCCCGCAACGAGCGCAACCCACGUCCGCUGUUGCCACUGGUGGCGUAAGCUGCCAAGCACUCAGCAGAGACCGCCGGCGAUGAGCUGGAGGAAGGUGUGGAUGACGUCAAGUCAGUACGCUCCUUAUGCCUAGGGCUACACACGUGUUACAAUGGCGCGUACAGAGGGGUAUGCCAACCCGCGAGGGGGAGCUAAUCCCAGAAAGCGCGCCCCAGUUCAGAUUGGAGGCUGCAACUCGCCUCCAUGAAGACGGAAUCGCUAGUAACGGCGGAUCAGCUACGCCGCCGUGAAUACGUUCCCGGGCCUUGUACACACCGCCCGUCAAGCGAUGGAAGCCGAGGGCACCCGAAGGCGGUAGCUCAACCCGUAAGGGAGGGCGCCGACGAAGGUGAAAUCGGUAACUGGCGCUAAGUCGUAACAAGGCAGCCGUA
rnacentral:rRNA from 1 species